GGUCCUCAGGCCCCAGGUGCAGUGCUGCAUCUCUGGUCAAUUGGGAGUCUGAGAUGAAGCACUGUAGCUCGGGAAGGAGGGUGC
rnacentral:pre_miRNA from 1 species